AAGUUUGGUCCUCAGCGGCUUCCGUCCUGCAGCAAGUCCGGAAGAAGGUCCGGGGGCUGGAGUCCUGGGACCUAGCUCGGGACCGGCCUGGAGAUGGAGUUUGACUGCGAGGGCCUGAGACGGCUGCUUGGCAAGAGUCUUGCUCUGUCCCCCAGGCUGGAGUGCAGUGGUGCGAUCUCGGCUCACUGCAACCUCCACCUCCCGGGUUCAAGCCGAUUCUCGUGCCUCAGCCUCCCAAGUAGCUGGGACUACAGUACAAGUUCAGGGACCUAACUGUGGAAGAACUAAAGAAUGUAAAUGUAUUUUUCCCACAUUUCAAAUAUUCCAUGGACACCUAUGUUUUUAAAGAUAGUUCUCAGAAAGACCUGCUGAAUUUUACUGGCACAAUUCCUGUGAUGUAUCAGGUGUCUUACUCUGUAACCCAGGCUGGAGUGCAGUGACACAAUCAUGGCUUACUGCAAACUUCACCUGCCAGGCUCAAGUCAUCUGCCCAUCUCAGCCUCCCCAGUAACUGGGACUAUAGGUAAUACAUACAACAUACCAAUUCGUUUCUGGA
rnacentral:sRNA from 1 species